rnacentral:rRNA from 1 species
AACGAACGCUGGCGGCGUGCCUAACACAUGCAAGUCGAACGGAGGCAGGGGGCUUGCUACUUGCUUUAGUGGCGCACGGGUGAGUAACGCGUGGAUAAUCUGCCUGAUACUCUGGGAUAACCUUUCGAAAGGGGUGCUAAUCCCGGAUAAGCCCACGGGCGCUUCGGAGUUUGCGGGAAAAGGGGGGGACCUGCGGGCCCCCCGAUAUCAGAUGAGUCCGCGUCCCAUUAGCUAGUGGGUAGGGUAAAGGCCUACCAAGGCGACGAUGGGUAGCUGGUCUGAGAGGAUGAUCAGCCACACUGGAACUGAGACACGGUCCAGACUCCUACGGGAGGCAGCAGUGGGGAAUUUUGCGCAAUGGGGGAAACCCUGACGCAGCAACGCCGCGUGAGUGAUGAAGGCCCUUGGGUCGUAAAGCUCUGUCAGAGGGAAAGAAAUGUGGGCGGCUAAUAUCCGUUCCACUUGACGGUACCCUCAAAGGAAGCACCGGCUAACUCCGUGCCAGCCGCCGCCGUAAAAC